GAUGAACGCUGGCGGCGUGCCUAAUACAUGCAAGUCGAGCGAACAGACGAGGAGCUUGCUCCUCUGACGUUAGCGGCGGACGGGUGAGUAACACGUGGAUAACCUACCUAUAAGACUGGGAUAACUUCGGGAAACCGGAGCUAAUACCGGAUAAUAUAUUGAACCGCAUGGUUCAAUAGUGAAAGACGGUUUUGCUGUCACUUAUAGAUGGAUCCGCGCCGCAUUAGCUAGUUGGUAAGGUAACGGCUUACCAAGGCAACGAUGCGUAGCCGACCUGAGAGGGUGAUCGGCCACACUGGACCUGAGACACGGUCCAGACUCCUACGGGAGGCAGCAGUAGGGAAUCUUCCGCAAUGGGCGAAAGCCUAACGGAGCAACGCCGCGUGAGUGAUGAAGGUCUUCGGAUCGUAAAACUCUGUUAUUAGGGAAGAACAAAUGUGUAAGUAACUAUGCACGUCUUGACGGUACCUAAUCAGAAAGCCACGGCUAACUACGUG
rnacentral:rRNA from 1 species